GACCGUUCAAAUUUUGGUCCAGCCAAAGUCUCGAUUAUAGAGCCUUCGGGAGUUUUACACCUUCAAUCCGAUUCAAUAUGUAAUAUACUCCUACAAAAUAACCAAUUAACUCCUCUGCAAGCAGGUGAUCGAAGAAAAAAAACAAUGGCGGAAUUGAAGAACAAGUUUGAAUCUAUCAGGGAAUGGGUCGUUGAGCACAAACUUCGAACCGUUGGAUGUUUGUGGUUAAGCGGCAUAGCGGGUUCUAUAGCAUACAAUUGGUCUAAACCCAACAUGAAGACCAGUGUAAAGGUCAUUCAUGCCAGGUUGCAUGCACAAGCGCUUACACUGGCUGCAUUAGCGGGAGCUGCAGUUGUCGAGUAUUAUGACCAUAAGUCAGGCGCAAAGGCAGAUCGUGUUGCUAAAUUCCUCAAUGCGGAUGGACAUCAUCAGAAAGAUUGAACCAGGAAUUUUCCAAGCAUGGAUGGAUCAAUUACAAACACUUUAGUUUCAUUUCAUCUCAGUGCCCUUGAUUGUUUGUUGAACUGUUAAGAGGGAGAAGAUUAGUUUUGUUCUUAGGUUCUACAAUGUCAUUUUGUUAGGAAACAUGCGGUUAUCAGGAAUUGAAAAAUGUUAAAAGGCAGAAUAGAGUAGCUGAUUUCUGUAAUAGCAACUAACUAUGAUCAACAAUGACUAUUCUGGUUUGAUGGUCAUGAUUUGUGCAUAGCUGGCAUUUUGACAUGAGGAGGAAUAAAAUCAUUUCACUGCAUUUUACUUCUUUGUGGUGUU